rnacentral:lncRNA from 1 species
CCUCAACACGCUGGGAAAAGAGACCAACAAGACACACUCAGAUAUCUGGGUUUCAUUCCGCCAUUGUUAGAAGGGCUGAGCCUUGCAACUCAGGACCCCUGACUGUAGUUGUUGGGGAUUCUGGCAGAAGAGAUUGGUAAGGAAAAUGGGGCAGAGUUAAGUGGGUUAGCCACCAGCAAUUCCCCUAAAAAUUCUCUUCACAUGUCCAGCAUCCCUUCAUGAUCCUUCAGUCCUGGAGAGACCAGCCAACACAACAUUGAAACGGCCAUCUAACAAGCCCACAGCCAGCAUUCAGCUAAACAGACCAAAUGUAGCAUUUCCACCAAAAUCAGGAACAAAGCAGCUAUGUCCCCUUCCCCUCCUGUUCAAUAGUGUUCAAAGCCUUAGCCUGAGCAGAAAGGCAAUACUGUAUGUCAAUCAAGGGGAUACAAACAGGAAAAGAAGUCAAAAUAUUCUAUUUGCCGAUGCCAUUAUUCUAAACCUAAAGGACCCUAAGGAUUCCACCCAGACCCUCCUGGAGCUGAUACAAAAGUGCAACGAAGCAGGAUACAAAAGUAUCCAGUAGCCUUUCUGGAUAUAAUGAGAUGGUAGAAAGAAAGAAA